rnacentral:rRNA from 1 species
UGCAAGUCCGAACGGUAGCACAGAGGAAGCUUGCUUCUUCGGGUGACGAGUGGCGGACGGGUGAGUAAUGUCUGGGAAACUGCCUGAUGGAGGGGGAUAACUACUGGAAACGGUAGCUAAUACCGCAUAAUGUCGCAAGACCAAAGAGGGGGACCUUCGGGCCUCUUGCCAUCAGAUGUGCCCAGAUGGGAUUAGCUAGUAGGUGGGGUAACGGCUCACCUAGGCGACGAUCCCUAGCUGGUCUGAGAGGAUGACCAGCCACACUGGAACUGAGACACGGUCCAGACUCCUACGGGAGGCAGCAGUGGGGAAUAUUGCACAAUGGGCGCAAGCCUGAUGCAGCCAUGCCGCGUGUAUGAAGAAGGCCUUCGGGUUGUAAAGUACUUUUCAGCGGGGAGGAAGGUUGUUUGUGGGUUAAUAACCGCAGCAAUUUGACGUUUACCCCGCAGAAAGAGAGCACCGGCUAACUCCGUGCCAGCAGCCGCGGUAAAUACRGAGGGGUGCAAGCGUUAAUCGGAAUUUACUGGGCGUAAAGCGCACGCACGCGGUCUGUCAAGUCGGAUGUGAAAUCCCCGGGCUCAACCUGGGAACUGCAUUCGAAACUGGCAGGCUGGAGUCUUGUA